GACAGAGGGUGCAAACGUUGUUCGGAAUUACUGGGCGUAAAGCGUGCGCAGGCGGUUGUGUAAGACAGAUGUGAAAUCCCCGGGCUCAACCUGGGAACUGCAUUUGUGACUGCACGGCUGGAGUGCGGCAGAGGGGGAUGGAAUUCCGCGUGUAGCAGUGAAAUGCGUAGAUAUGCGGAGGAACACCGAUGGCGAAGGCAAUCCCCUGGGCCUGCACUGACGCUCAUGCACGAAAGCGUGGGGAGCAAACAGG
rnacentral:rRNA from 1 species